ensembl:lncRNA
CAGCUUCCGGUUCCAAGAUGGCAACGUUCUACACCCGGUGUUUACAGGAGCUUUCGACAAUAAAUAUCACAGAUGUGCAUCGUUUAUGUCGGGAAACAAAAACUCCGACAAGCAAAUUGGAGAAGGGGUUUAGGCUGUAUGCUUCGAACUACAUUCACAGCUACGAAGCCUCAGUCACCUCCCUUUUACCUGUAUUGUGACUUGUGCCACUACGCAACGGUUUCUCUACCGGAUGGCGUCGUAACUAAUCCCUGGCACUCAGCUGACAGGUUUGUUUAGUUUCCUCUUUGGGUGCAGUUCAAUAACUGCACCAACUUCCUGUAAGACAACCUGAUGUGUGUGGAUAUCCAAUGCCCUAAUGUGUUCUCUGUGCUCUCUUUUUAGAGUAGUGUUCUUGUCCGGGCUGUAUCUUUGGGAGGCGCGGUUUGGUGGUUUGCCGUGUACUUGCAUGUAGAUAAGUAGGGUGUUACCUGCUCAAUUCAUACAUUUUUACAAUUGUUUAUUAAUGGUAUUUUGUUCU